ensembl:lncRNA
GCCGACUACGGCGCUAUGUUUCUAUGCUCGUCACGCUGCCGCUAGGCCGUUGCCAAGGUGAUUGAGGAAAGGCGUUUGUCGCGUCGCCGCUCACGCAACGCAAACUACAUUAUCCAGUAGGACCCUCGCCGUGCCUCGGGGCUGGCCAUUGGCAGCCCGGGAGAAGGGCACUUCCGGGCGGGGUGGAAGACACCGGCCAAUCAGUCUGCAAGCGGGACUUCUGUCGCCGUCCUCGGACCAUCACUUUGGCAUUUCUCGAUUUUGUCUGCAUUUGAAGGGACCGCGUUGUCAGGCGAGGGACAGAAUCUUGGAGGCUCCCUGGGCCCAUGGAAACAGGAGUGAGGAAGGCACGAGAGUCGGGGAAGUUCGUGACAUAUAAGCGCCCCGACCGCGGCGAAUAUCGCCCCCCGAGCCCCAGUGUUCCCCCCGGCUGUAGAUGAAGCCGGCCCAGUGGGACCCUCAGGUCGCACCGCGCGGAGGUGUCCGCGGCUCCCGGGAGUCGUCGCCCUUGGCGUUGUGUCGGCUUUACGGAGCGCGAGGCCGAGGCCAAGAAAAGCCACGCGUUGACCCAGCGUGCGCCCGGCUGCAGGCUUGGAGCGUGUGCCAAGGGUCUCCUGGCACCCACUCGGCUGGACUCAGCACCAUUGCCCUAAGUCUCCGAUUGAGAAGUACCUGCCCCAGGUCCUCUGCAGCCCCACCGAACAGUGUGGAGCGUUCACAGCACCAUGAAGAGAGGAAGGAGAUGACAUCACCCAUGGAAGGACAUAUAUACCCUGUCCAGUCUUCUUGUUGGCAAAAACACAGUAAGCCAAGUUGACACCUCCCUGAUAAUUCCAGAAGUCCUCUGGACCACUCAGAUUGCCUAAGACCUCCCCGUCUAGAAGAAGAAAUGACAUCCACCCCAAAAAGUAUGUGCCCUGAAAAACAUACCUUCUGAAGUUUCUGUCAACACUACUGGAGACAGAGGUCGGUGGAGCCCGAGUAAAUGUCCAGGUAAGCUGCAUGAAGGGUGGGAGAGUGGCAUGGGCCAUCAGAGCUUAAUUGUACAUUGCUUGGGCAGCCGUGGUUAGAUCUUGAACACCUUGCUCCCAUUCUGUGCUCUAAUCUCUCCACUUGGGCCAUGAGGUAACAGCCAUGCUGGGGGUCAAUGCAGUGGGGAUGUUUCCAUGGUGAUGCCAGAACAGCCCAUGCCACAGCCUGCUGACCUUAUCCUUUGACCUGCCCAGAAGUCCAGAGAUGCUGUGAACGCUUACUGUAGCCUCCAUGCUGGCCUUAUGGGGACACCAAGAUUCCUGGAUGUGGAAUCCACUGAGCACCUUUGCCUGCAGACUUCAGUGCCAGGAGCCACAUCGACAACCCCUGACUCUCCCAAUACUGUUCCUCUACCCAUAAGCCUCUGUGGUUCCCUAAAAGGAGAUGAUAUUGUUUUCCCCACUCCCUGCCUUGAUGCCUAGACUCAGGCAUGACUGCAGUCAUCUGCCAAGUUGUCUCUGGAAAACCUUUGACACAGGUAUUGUGAAUGCCCCAGUCUCUGUCUUAUCCCCACCACGACCAAGCCCAGUAAUUACCCAUUCUCUUAGGACCUGACCCAUCUCCACCUCCCAGGCUUUCUCCUGAUCCAAGGCUGUCUGGGAAAUCCAGCUCCAAGGUAACAGUUGCUUUUGAGGCUCCUCCCCAAAGGGCUUGUGAAAUACUCAGGAUUCCUUUUUUUUUUUGAGACAGAGUCUCACUCUGUUGCCCACGAUGGAGUGCAGUGGAGCUAUCUCGGCUCACUGCAGCCUCUGCCCCUGGGUUCCAGCAAUUCUUCUGCCACAGCC